GACGUAGGGGGCGAGCGUUGUCCGGAUUUAUUGGGCGUAAAGCGCGCGUAGGCGGCCGCGCAAGUCGGAUGUGAAAACCCGGGGCUCAACCCCGGGCGUGCAUCCGAUACUGCGCGGCUCGAGACAGGUAGGGGAGAUCGGAAUUCCUGGUGUAGCGGUGAAAUGCGCAGAUAUCAGGAGGAACACCCGUGGCGAAGGCGGCUCUCUGGAACGCAACUGACGCUGAGACGCGAAAGCGUGGGGAGCAAACAGG
rnacentral:rRNA from 1 species